GGUGGGUUGUCCGAGUGGCUAAAGGAGUCGGGCUGUAAACCCGAUAGCGUACGCUUACGUUGGUUCGAAUCCAACACCCACCACCA
rnacentral:tRNA from 1 species